CAUGCCGUAAACGAUGAUUACUAGGUGUGGGGGGUCUGACCCCUUCCGUGCCGGAGUUAACACAAUAAGUAAUCCACCUGGGGAGUACGGCCGCAAGGUUGAAACUCAAAGGAAUUGACGGGGGCCCGCACAAGCAGUGGAGUAUGUGGUUUAAUUCGAAGCAACGCGAAGAACCUUACCUGGACUUGACAUCCCCUGAAUGACUCGUAAUGGAGGAAGCCCUACGGGGCAGGGAGACAGGUGG
rnacentral:rRNA from 1 species